CUGACUGCUUGAUCAGGUCCUGAUGGCUGUACUAUCUUAAGAGACUGAUUACAAUAAAGGACUUGGUAGACCCUAUCUCUUGUGUGUCCUGGAUACAACAAAUUGGCAAUGAAGCGGGAUGGCUUGUUUUGCAAUGAAUCCACCAGUGCCUUUUCUUCAGAACUCAGGUGAGCCACCUGUUGUGUUUCCUGUCUGGAUUUGGAUGUUUGAGAAUUAUAUUUUGGCAAUAAGGAAUGAAGAGAUUCCCAAAGCAGGAAAAUGUGCUUUACUCCUCUACGGCUUGGGAACAAAAGGUCAACGCAUAUUCUAUACCUUGCCACUUGCAGAUGAUAAACAUGAGACAGAACUUUCAGCUUUAAAGAAAUUUUGUGCCAAGAGUAAAUGUGGUAGCUAAUCAUUAUAAAUUUCAUCAGUGGGAACAGAAGUGGAGAAUCUAUACUACUGCUUUAAGAGACUUGGUGGGCUCCUGUAACUUUGGAAUAAUGGCAGAUGAAAUGAUUAGAGACCAACUGAUUGAGAAAACAUCUGUGCUAUGUACUCAAGAAUGUUUGCUGCUAGAGAUUUGACCUUGGAAAUCUAUAGUGAUUGCAACACAACUGGAGACAGCUGUGGCAGAAGCUAAAACUAUGAACUUGGAUAAAGGAAAUGGAGUACACGCUGUGGAUUCUACAUAUAGGAGCCAUAUGACGAAGUCGUGAAGAAAAGAGUAACAGAUUGGUGCAACAAAACCAAGCACCUUCCUAUAUUGCUGCAGCUGGAUUUAGGAGUUUCCCAUAUUCUGGGAAACACACCAGUGGGGAUUCGAAACAACAGCCUCCUGCUCUCUAGGAUGCUUCUCCAUUCCCAGGGAGGGAGGAACAACUGUGGUGGGCAUCCAAGGUCUCCAGAAUCCUUCGGACCUGCAGAAUCAAGCAAUAGUGCCGUUUUAGUUUAGCUGAGCGGGCUCGAUUUUUCCCGCGCGACCAGAGAGGGAGAGAUCAGCGACAGAUAAAGAGGGGCAAACAACAAGCCCCAACGCGUCUGAUUUCAGGCGCAGGCUGCUAGUUACGGCGGCCGCGUGGUGGACGUGCUGGAGAAGAAAGCCCAGGUACCGUUGUUGUGCUGCUUUGCUGCAGACCCGGGAGUUCCGAGCUCCAAGUGGAGGAGAGCUGCAGAGGCAGAGCGGUGAACUCUCCAUGCUCUUCUGUCCCUUGCAGCACGCAGCUCGGUCUGAGUGCUGCUGCAUGCAGAUGCUUUGCAGUUCUCUCCGGGACUGGGCUAUGGAUCGGCUGUUGCCCAGGGGUCUUUAUAUUCCUUUCCUCAUUGUUUAAAAGCCUCCCAGCCGCCUUAUCUCAAUUUGCUGGAGAAGUAAACAAAAAGGCUGCGCGUGAAAGCCGCAUCAGGGUAAACAAGGAGCGUGGACGCGUGCAAGCUCCAAAUGGCCCAGGGAGAGAUUUGGCAAGAAAGUGUUAAUCACACUUGAGCAGACACAUGGCGGUUGUCAUUAAGCGGGGAAGCACACGCUUAAUUUGGCCUCCUCUGGCUGCAAAGUGUCCACCGUGAGAAAGAGCCAGGGAGUCUCCAUCGUUUGUGUAUCUGGGUCCUGCCCGCCUCGCUUUUUGUUUAUUUCUUUCUCUUGCUGGGAAGAAGGGCCACUUCCUCUGCUGCGAAAGUAAUACCACUCUGUUUGUACGAAUGUAUUUUUUCAAAUAUUGAUUCCACCGAUCGUCUCCAAAAUGGCAAACAAGAGUCAAAGACGAUAAAAUGAAACAAUUCAGAUAACAAUGUAUACCUGUUAGAAAUACAGCUGCAAGAUUACGAAUCAGCAAGGAAUCCAGCCAGGCAAAAACUGCCAAAGGUCCGCUAAUUUUUACCAACAGGGUUUUACUUGGCAUCUAAACUCUAACAAAGCCCCAAACAAAUUGGGGGUGGGGGGGGAGGAUUCCAUGAUGCCACAAAAAAGAAGAAGCAAUCUAAUCCUUUCCCUCAUCUCAGGACGGGGUUCUGGAGAAGGGCCUCCAAAGCAGAUCUGAGUGAAUGGACAGGCUCUUUCCAAACAAGACCAUCCUUUAAGUACUCUGGGUCCAUGCUGUUUAGGGCCCUAAAAACUAAUGCCAGCACUUUGAAUAAAUACUUGAAUCAAAUCAGAACCAGAAUCCAGAACUGGUUCAGUUGUGUGUUUUUUAUGAACUAAAAUUGAACCUGAGCCUAAAAUCUCCUGAUUGCCUUGAAUCUGAACUUAAUUCCUAAACACAAAAAGUCAUAACCAGUUCAAAGUAUGCAAUGUAACUUAAUCUGGCACCCAGCUUUCAGUUGUACUAUUCAUUUUAUAUUUCUUUUCUUGCUCUGUUCAUAUUUUUUCAAGCCAAAUCAUUACUAUUGCAUUUAUGCUAUAGAUUUAUAUUGCAAGCAAAACAGUUUGAUAUUAUUCUGCAUUAAAUGUUCAAAGUGUA